AAAAACCUGGGCAAAAGAGUACUUAGAAACAAAGAAAAACUUACAUGAAAUACCCUUACAGACUAAUGGGAAUGAACCUCUUGUGAUUUUAAAUGUAUUCCAGUACUAUGCUAACACAUGCAAAGGAUGAAGGAAGCAACUUACAAAUGGAGAGAGUGUCAAAUUCUCAAAUCAAGACAGAAUAAUUCAUCCUAAGAGGUAAUUUAUACCGACUAAGCUGUCUGAGGCUUUGGAGAUCAGCUUUUGGCAUGUGUUUCUCUACAGCUUGCACAGUGGACCACAACAUGCUAUAUAGAUGAUUCAUGGGCUGGAGACUUUCUGCACAUGCAGGGUCCAAGAGAGAAGGUUUCAAAAUAAUAAAGAAGGAAAGGAAGAACCAAGGAAAAAAGGUAUGAAAGGAAAAAUUAAUCCUGGGGUCUUCAAAACAGAACACAGUGACCUCAGUCAAAACUCUUUGCACAUAGAAAAAAAUCCUGAAAACCAGUGUUGCACACAGAGAAUGACACAUGGACAUGUUUGGGAAGUGGCAAAGGAGGAGAAAAUUAUUUUUGCACAAAUGAAAGAAGAGCUUCUGGGUCCUCCUCUCUUCCCCCUGUUCUCUUUUUGAUGCCUCCCUCCAUGCAAACCUCUGCACACUUCUAGGAAGGUGGAUGCAAAGUGCUGAAGCAACACAAGGUGUGAUGUUCUUGAGAAGUCUCUGGUCUCCUGAGCAGCUUCUUGUGAGAUUUACAACUCCAAAAGAUUGACUAUAAAUAAAUAAAACCUUUCAACACCUUCUAGCUCCUGGGAAACAAAGUCCAAAAGAUACUGAGUUUUGCUUACCACUUCCUCCUGUCAGGGUUACAGGAGGGUUUGCUCUCUAUUCAGUCCUGUCAUGCCACCUGCCUCUUGCAUUCUGUCUCCAGCAACCACAGCAACAUCUUGUCUCAUCUGCUACUCAUCCAUCCAAUAUAUCAGUGCAUGGUAAUGUAAUGCUUGAGGAUAAUACCCUGGUGUAUCUUCUGACUUCUACAUAUGAGAUUUGGUGUUUGCUACUUCUUUUUCUAUUUGAUAUUGACUCUAGAAAUUCUUACACAGACAGCAAAUGCAGUUGUGAAUUCAAUCUUCAGAUUUCUCUUUUUCUUAGGGCACCUCUUUUCCUUAAUUGCUUUUGCUUUGUUUGUUCAAAUUAAAUAUUUAUUGCAUUUUAAAGAAGAAUGAACUUUUGGGACAAGAUAAUAAAGGAUUUAUCUGAUGAUAAAACAUGUAAAUCUUUCCAGAAACUUCAGGAGGAUUUUAAUAUUAAUGCAGAUCAAAUAUGGAAAUAUAUGCAACUUGUGAAUAGUUUUAUAGAAACAGGAAGAGCUGUGGUGUCAGUGUAGGAAUAAUCCUUAUUAGGAUGACUUUCUGAUAUUGAUAAGACAGGAAUACAGGAUCUCAUUUUUUUCUCUUGCUUAAAUCUCUUCAUUCUUUUGUAAAAGUUCAGAAAAGAAUGACAAGUCCUUUUCUUUUUUAGGUUUUAAUAAACUGCUGAAUAAGUAAUUACAGAAGAAACUACAGGGAACAAGUUUGUUGUGACAAGGAAAGAAAAUUGAUUGUCUAACAAGUCCUCUCAGUUUCUAAUAACCAGGGGGUCAAUCAGCAGUCCCACACUAUAGAAAAAAAAUAUAAAUUAUAGAUAAUUAGUAUUUGGCUGGUUGACUAUUUUGAAAAGCAUAGCUGUCCCCCAUGAUAAGGUGCCCUUAGGAUAACUCCUCCCUUUACUUCUCUUUAUAUGAAGUAUGAGGGACUACUACUUAAUAUUCCUAAUUUAAUAAAACAUAGUUAUGAAGUUAAUUUUUAAACUACUUAAUUUUUAAAAAUUCUCAUUUACUCUUUCCAAAUCAUUGAAACCAUAGAAUCUACUUAACAGCAAAAAACACCAGAAUUUUUAAGUUUGGAGAAAAGUGAGAGGAGGAAAUCAAGAGGUAAGAUAUGGGUGAAUUCUCUACACAGCAAUAUUCUCAGUAUUCUUUAAAAGUUUUAGAAUUCCUUUCAAGAGUGAAUCAUGAUAGAAGUAUUGAAAUCUCAUAACCAUUAAGGACGACCACUGAACUGGGGGAUAUUGACAUUCCUGCUUCAUGCCUAAACAGAUUAUUCCCUUUUGGCAUUUUCUGAUCACCAUGUUUAUCACAGUGAAAUCCCAGUUUGAUUUGGCUUUCCCAUGUGCUCAUAGUUUGUUCCAAUCAAUUUAAUGAGUGGGCAUGAUUGGAGAGGUUUGUGGUUGUAAAAUACACAAGAUCAAGGAAUUUAUAAAAUAAGGCAGGGUUUUCAGAAGGUCCUCAAAGACCUAAGUCCUUUGCAGUGUGAAGUUCAGGGUUCCGGUAAUCAGAAAUAUGCUUAGUGCAGAGAAUUGCAGGGCAGUCACAGAAUGCCCUGAGUUGCAAGGAACCUUAAGGAUCAUUUACUUCCAACUCCUGUGCCAUAGUAGGGACACCUUUCACUAGAUCAGGUUGCCCAAAGCCCCAUCCAAUCUGGCCUUGAACACUUCCAGGGAUGGGGCAUCCACAACUCCUCUGGGCAACUAGUUCCAGUUCCUCACCACCCUCACAGUAAAUAAUUUCUUUCUAAUAUCUAAUCUAAUCCUGCCCUCUUUUAGUGUAAAGCCAUUUUUCCCUUGUUCUAUCACUACAUGUCCUUGUGAUUAGUCCUUCUGCUGCUUUCUUGUAGUCCCCUUUAUGGACUGGAAGGCUGCUGUAAGGUCUUCUUGAAGCCUUCUUUUUUCCAGGCUGAGCAACCCCAACUCUUUCAGUCUGACUUUAUAGGAGGAGUGUUGCAGCCCUCUGAUCACUGUAGUAGCCCUCCUCUGAAGCUGUCUAACAGGUCGGAUGCUCCAGAGUUGGAUGCAGUAAUCCAGGUGGAAUCUCAGGAGAGUGCAAUAAAGGAAAGGGUCACUCUACAGAGAUUCUGCCCUUCAGUGUUGUGUCUCUUUACAGAUUGUGUUCCCUAGCAUGAAAUCUUCCAAGAUUCAUUGUCGUGUUUAGAAGCAUGGAAUAGCUGGUGCAUAGCCCAGAGAUCCAGAGACCACCUUUUUCUUCUAACACCCUCAGUAAUCUAUCUGUUCUCAGGCUUAACAUUACCAUAUUGAAUAAGUUUUCAAAUUUGCCCAACAUGAUGAUUUUGCAAGGCUACAUAUGAAACUCAUUUGCGCUGCCCUCUGAAGUAAUUCUGAAAACACCCUGCUCCCAUUCAUCAUUCAGCAUGCAGGUUUUUUUCACUUACUGUGUUCUAGGAUGUGCUCUCAGCUAACUAGUGAAAAACCUCUGUAGGAGGUUUUGCUCAUUAGAGAAGCGAUUUAAUGCUAAAGAAAUAUUUUGCUUUCUAUUUUAAAAUGUCUUUUUGAAUAAAUAGUGUACAGAUUUUCCUGAGAUGUGCUUUGAGCUGCUUGGAAAAUGAAGAACAGAGCCUUUCACUAAAAUUAAUGGGAAAGUUCAGUGAAAUUUGGAUUAGACUCCAAUGAUAAAGCAAUCUGAAACAGAAACAUCAUUAAAAGAUACUCGUAAUGGAACUGUGAGCUUAUUUGUCUGAAAAACAGCUUGCGAGGUAAUAAGUAAUGAAUUACUGCUAAGAAGUGCAUCUGUCUCUUAAGAGAAAAAUGUCUUGUGGAAUGCAUUGUACAUCUGUACUGAUGAAAUUAUUAAAAUGAGUACCUUUGAGAUAGGAGUAUAUGUCAUGAAGAUGACCAAGCAAACAUUGGAUUAGGGGGCUUUUAUGCUAAUUAAAUGAUGGACACACAGAAAAGAGAUAAAUUGUUAAUAUAUGCUAAACACAAAAAAUCUAGAAGACCAUCUGAUUCAUUCUAUCAGAGAGAAAACAUAUCUGUUUAAUUAAGGGCAGUAAUAUUGUAUGCAUGCUUGCAAGCAGUGAUAUGGUAGCUAAUCUAGCUUUUCCUGAGGUGCACUCUGUCUUUUUAGUGCUUAAAUUUUAGCCUUAAGAUUCCCCUAAUGUUGCUGUUUGUAUGGGAUUGUUUCUCUGUUGCUGGCACAUAACCGAUUCCCUGAGAGAUAGAUGCACCUCCAAGUAGCAACUGCUUGUCAGGAAGACAGUUUUUCAUACCUGGCUUUAAUGCAGACCUUUAUUUUACAGACAGGUUUCUCAGAGGCUCGCGCUGUCUUAUUUUUAAUGACUAAAAAAAAAAUAAGCUGGAUGAGUGGGAAAUGCUGUCAUGCAGGCGUUCCAGAUGAGACUGGGACAACAUCGCAUUUGAAUAACCACCCGACGGAUCCGUCAAGCUGAGCUGAGACAUUCCUCAGCAGCCUCGGCUCAAAAUCCAGCCCUGGGAUGGAGGGUGAGACGCAGGAGUGCCCGCAGCCUGCGUGUGCCUUGGCUCCUCUCUGCAGUGCUGCUGCCUGGGAGAGCGCUGGCGUUGGCAGGGCGGCGUCCCACAGAGGAGCUCAAUUGUGCCUUUGCUGUACUGCAGAAACAUAUGGCUCAACGCCUACAGGAAAGUAUCAGGGACGGAAUCUUGCAGCAGUAACAUAAACAUUAUUUUGCAUGAAGUAAAAUCAAUAUUUGUUGUCUGAGCAUCUUCCCAGGGUUUCAAAGCCAAGUGUUGGUAGAUUUCACUAAGUUUGGGGUAUUUGUUUCCAUUUGCUUCCCAGGCAACAUUUGUUUUUACGGGGAAGCUGCAAUUUUCAGGGUUGUGUUUGUGGACCACCCCUGGGCGUACAUACGGACUGGGGAAUGCAGUCCCAUGAGAGGGACCUGGGGGUUCUGGCAAGUUGGACAUGAGCCAGCAGUGCUAUGGCAGCCAGGAGGGCCAAGCGUGUCCUCAGAGGCAUCAGACACAGCAUCACCAGCUGGGCAAGGGAGGGGAUUGUCCUGCUCUGCACUGGGGCAGCCUCACCUUAAGUGCCGGGGGCAGUUUUGGGUGACACAACACAUAAAAGACAUUAAACCAUUGGGGACCUUAAUGGCCUCCUCCAAAGGAGGGCCAUGAGGAUGGUGAAAGGUUGGAGGUGAAGUUGCAUGAGGAGCUGCUGAGGUCACUUGGUCAGUUUAGUCCAGAGGAGACUGAGGAGAGACCUCACUCACUGCUGUCACAACUUCCUUGUGAGGGGAAGAGGAGGGACAGGCACUGAUCUCUUCUCUGUGGUCCCCAGUGACAGGACCCAAGGGAAUGGCCAGAAAUUGUGUCAGGGGACGUUUAGGUUGGGUAUUAGAAAAAGGUUCUUAACCCAGAAGAGUGGUUGAGCACUGGAACACGCUCAUCAGGGAAGUGGUCACUGUACCAAGCCUUACAGAGCUUGAGAGAUAUUUGGAUGAUGCUCUUUGGCACAUGGUGUGACUUGUGGGGAUGGUGCUGUGCAGGGCCAUGAGUAGGACUCAAUGAUCCUUGUGUGUUCCUUUCAACUCAACAUAUUCUGUGAUUCUGUGAUACAAAUUUUGCUCCUAAUCGUUGCCCAUAUAAAAUGUUGGGCUGAUGGAUAUCUGCCCCAUAGAAAUUCAAGUGCCAAAAAUUCAAAGCAAAGCUGGCGCCUUCCUUACAAAGCUCUCUCCCCUUUUUUUUUUUUCAUUUGAGUAUAUCUCUGUAAGACCAAGGAAGGCUCCCAGAAGCUUUGCAGUGGUAAACUUGUAUUAGUAGUGACUACUGAUCCCAGAGAUGUGAAUUAUGAAAUUGGGGCACAUUGCACCAAAAUUAAUUGUUAUUUUCGUUUUAAAUGUCCACAUCUCAAAAAGAAAAAUUCUUGGUAUGGAACAACUUACAUGAGUAAGUGAACCUUGGUGUGGGUCCCAUGGAAGAGGUCAGAGAGCUGCUCUUGGUGGUGAACUGUCACCAACAAAGCAGCCAAAGUGAUCUGAUUCUCUGUGCUUGAGCCACACAUGUUUUCCCAAACAGAUUAGCACUGAUUAGCAAUGAAUUACCAAGCGUGAAAUGAGUUUCUUGGCUUCUAGCCACUGGACACAUAGAAAGAAUGUGUCUGCAGGAAGAGGAAAAUGAGUAUCCACGGCUGAAUAAAACACUUGGAUGUAUUUGUUGUUGCAGGCUAUUGCCAGCUCAGAACAAGAGUAGUCAUUGCCAGUUAAAUAAAACACCUCUCUCCUAACAGUAAGCAUAUUGCUUACUAAAAACAGGAUCUUUUAAAUAAUGUCUUUCUGCUUAUCUAUGGUCUUUGAAUAUAUUUUUUGCUGAAUAGGAGCACAGUAUUUGAGCAGUUCUGUCAUGCAUAAGCAAUCUGCUCUUUAGACAGUGAUGCUUACUUAAAAUGCUGAUGUUGAUGAUGCUGAAAACGUGGGGUGAGGGAAAACUCAAGUCCCAUCUUGAAGAGGCUUGCUUCUUUAAGAGAAGGUAAAAGAUGAGUUAAUCACUAAGCAGCAAUUUAGAGCACAAGUAAGAAUUUGGAGUACUUUUAAGAGAGAUAUUAAUAAAAACCCACUUGUUUCUGGCAAUUGAAAAAGAGGGAAAUUGGCCCACCUGAUUAUGAAGAAGAAAAUCAGUGAGAUGGUUGGUCUGUUAGGCUGUGGCCUCUGCUCUGAAAUAAAAGGACUCUUGCCUUAUUUCACUGAUAACAGGAUGAGGGUGUGAGGCUUCUCUUUGCCAGCAAGAACAUGCAAACUGCAUCCUCAGCCCUUCAGCCAGUUUGUGUUAGUAAUUCCAUCCUCAGCCCUUCAGCCAGUUUGUGUUAGUAAUUCUAAGCAGUCUGAUGCUAGGCACAGUAUCUCCACAGUUAACAGGUGCAUUAUUACUUCAAUUAUCUUUAACUACUAGGCAUGCUGUGAUACUAGGCAUUGAGAGAUUCAAAUAUACAGUAGGCCCGAUAAAAACUGUUUGUCUUGAAUAGAUUCAAAUGCUUGGGUUUUUUCUGCAUAGAAGAGCUAAUGUUUGUUAUUAGUUUGCUACUUAUAAUCUUGGCUAUACAGGCUAAUUAAUUUGCCAGAAGUCUUAUAGUUGACACCUGAAAAAAAAAAGUAAAAAUAUAGAUGAUGUCCUACAUUUGCUUACCAAAAGGAGACAGAUAUUUUUAAAAGGGAAAAAAAUCCAAUGUUUUUAACUGUUGUAUGAAACUAGAUAAAAAGUAGAUAAAAACCUAAUUCCUAUGUAUUGAACAGAAAGGUGAAUAUUUAUUUCUAAUUUUUGCAUCUGUACUUGCACUCUAAUGCAAGUACUUGCACUCUAAUGAGGAAAAGGAGGGGAAACUCGUUAUUCAAUACUUUACUUUUUCAAAAAUAAUUUUCCUUUUCCUUUUGUCUUUUGGAAGCAGGCAUUGUAACAGAAAUCUUACUGAAUUGCCCAAAUUUCAAACCAAAAUUUUCUGGUAAACUAAUGAAUAUAAUCUAGCACACAUUCACACAUCUCUGUUUCUUCUCUUUAUAUAUUCAUUUUCUAUGGCUGCCUUCUUUUCCACUUCCCAAAUAUUUUCCUUUCUUGGUUGUAUUUUUUUUUUUAUCCCCCCUUUGGUUUGAAGCUGCUCAAAGUGUGUGUCAGUAGUAUUAACUCCCAUCUUAAAAUUCCAGCCUCCUGAUGUCUAGUUUUUAAAAGCAAUGGACUAAUGAGAAAAAGAUGCUGGAUUCAGCUUUUUCUUUAUUCCUCACUGUGAAUCCUAAGCCAUGUGAUGCACUGUGCAUGCUGGCUUUACUGUAAGAUUCUCAGACACUUACUGUACUGGUAGGAUGUUUCCAGACAAAUACAUAUCUUGCAGGUGUAGCACUGUUUUCUCAGAGGUUUCCUGAAGGGUUAUACAGAGCAUCCAUGUUGGGCAAUGCACCAAUGUUCAGAUGUUUUCGAGGCAUUCAGAUAUCAGUGGUUAGUCCUCACUUGCCUUUAAGCGAAUACAUUCCAAGGAAUUUGUCAUCUCUCUGUUUUCAGCAAUAUUAUAAACACAGCCUUGCAUGGAUCUCUUGGCAUAGGAGGGUGUACUUGGAGCAGUGUGUUCAUUGAAGAUUUUUUUUCACUCUUCAGCCUUGUGUGGAUCUUUAACGACCUGCUAUAUGCUUCCUCUUUCUCUAAUCUUCUGAGAGAGUCAGCAGGCACAAACUGUACUGAGAAAAUUAUACUAUACCACAUUCUGAAACUGUAGGUUUGAUUUCAGCCUGUCUGGUGGGACUGCUGCUAAAAGUCAGCAUCUAAAGGAGCAGCUCAUUUGAAUUCUGGAUGUACACACAAGUUAAUACGAAUGUGCUCAGAAACUGAAGGCUGAUAUAUCAAAGCCACCGUUCAACACCACCUCAGGAAUGUUCCUAAUAGUGCAACCAUUUUUUCCUUUCACUUCUGUCAAAUUUAUCAAUGUCUGAUGUCACUCUUUCACAAAGAGGCAGCCUAUUAAUAUGUAUAAAGUAAAAAUAAAAGUUCAUCCCUAUGCAUUAACAUUUACUCAUGGCAAUUAUGCCUGAGCUUAUUAAAUUCAUAUGUCCCCCUCUUUUUCUUUCUUUCCAUUCCAACCCUACAGAAAGUAGUACCAGAUCUAUUUUUAUUUUUCUUUAUGUGUGUGUACCCCUGUAUGUGUAUUUUUAUGUGCAUUAUCUAUACAUCUCUAUAUAUACUUCAGCACUGCGGACUGAAUAAAUUUACCCACUUUUGUAUCUUACUGCUUGAGCAUUUCCCAAGAAAACUAAUGACUGCUUACCUGGAGCUGGACUGAGUUAUUAGACAGGCACAUAACUGUACUGCCCCAGGAAGUAUUCAUGAAAGGAAUUGGACCUGAGAGCAGGAGUUUGUCCUGCCUCUCCCUCCUCGUUUGUGAAGUGAAAAGGUAAUUUGCACUUCUCCUUUUUUCACGUACCUUUUUCUGGUGCCUGUUGAUUUUCCUGUGCAUUGGGGCAGCAUGUAAGAGAGGGAACCAAGCAGCUUUCACCUCUCACCCCCUCUCUUGGCGCCACAGUCCGUCUCUGCUGAGCCCAGAUGAUCGCUGUAGCCCGGGGAUGUCCCUGUGCCAGGCUCUGCCAGAGAAGGGGCAAUUUGAUCUCUGCAUAGAGACAGCCAUGAGGUUUAAUGCUGCAUGCUUCCUUGUGUGAAAUGUUUGCCUAGAUUCUCCCCAAGAGGAUCAUCUCCUUGUCCCUGACCCUUUGCUGCUUCCUGCAGGGUGGGAUGGGGCUGCAUGCCCUCAGUGCCAGGCAUUUGGCUGUCCCUCUGUGGGGUUAGGACACAAGGGUGGGUGAAGGGAGAGCGUGCAGGAUCUCACAGGGUGUGUGUCUGCACUCUCCCCGCCUGCAGCUGGAGGAUGCUAUGGCACAAGUUGGGGCUUGCACUAGUUUUGGUGGAAACCAAGUUUAAGCCACUGAAUGAGGAACUUUGGUGAAGAGGCCAUGUGUAGGGUGAAAUUUUGCUGCAAAUUCAGGGAGCGCCUCAAGAUAUUGACUGGAAAUUAGAGGCCAGAGGAGAGAAGGGAAGCAAACCCCAUGGCUUUAAAAGGGACAAGAAUUUGGUUCCUGUUGACUUGUCUUCAGUCCUCUCCUGGCAGCAACCUCAAUACUUGCAUUUUUCAUUGCUCAAAGUGGAGUAAACAAGCAGCAUGCCCUGACAGGAGGCUUCUCAGACUGGACAGCCAUGUCCUGCACAUCACCCCCUUGCCUGGUGACAGCCACACUUGUCUGACACUUCGUGCUGGUGACUCCUGUGCUACAUUGCCAAGUCCUGUUGGCUUUCCUGAAUUUUGACUGAGAACCCUGAGAUGCUUCAAUCCAGCAGCCAGCUGUCAUCAAUAACAACUGCAUUUACCAUUAUUAAAAUUAGCUUGUUUUCUUCAAGGUUUUGAUGGAAUAAGAUCAUAAGAAAGCUGAUUCAAAAUACACCCUCUGAGGCCAAACUUGACCUCUUCUCAAACACUUCUGCUCGGCUCAAAGAGGCUGAUCCACAGGGACUGAUGUCAAAGGAAGGUGCUCAGGGUCCAGGGCCUGGGAUGCUGAAUAUGGCACUUUUUCAAGGUGAAACAGCAACACAGAAGGAAGAUAUUUUUAAAGUAAAAGUACUUGCCUGAUUCUCCUGUCACUGCUCAAUGACAUGCAUUUAUGUAUACUAUUUAAAGCUGUGUUAAAUGCAAAAAUAUGUGUAGUCUGUGACACUCAGCUCAAUAGAUAUUAAAAGAUCCCGGUCUGUGGUAGUCAUUUAACUUGCUCUUUAAGACUUUUGCAACUGUUUCACAUUUUCUGUGCCUUUUUAGUAUGUGAGAUGAAAGCUGGAUUGUGGCGAUAGCUCAGAGAGCUAUCCUUUUUUUCUCUUCCCCUUCUCCUUCCUCCCCCCUCACCUUCCUCUGCCCCUUAUCCCUUCUCUCCACUUCCCUUCUCUUCCCACUUUUUAAAAGGAAGGAGGACUGGUUAUUUUCAUUAUUAUUUUAUACCAACACUGAGUUGAAAACAUUUGUAGUUGUUUAAGUACUUAAGGAGGAUCUGCUUCUUACCUCCGGGUAAGACAGUAAAUUCUUCCAUGUGUUGACUUCAUCUGUUAUCCCUACCCAUUUUCCACAUGCCUGAGGGAUAUUUACUCAGACAGACUCUCUCUGUACUGGAGAAAUCUCCGGCGAAGGUCAGCCAGACAAGCAGCACUUACUCAGGAGCGAUGUGAUGGGUGUGUAUGUGUGAACGGCAGGUCAGUGACACGGGCUGGGGAAAGAAAGUGGGAGCAGCCCUUUCCUCUUCAGCUCCCUCACGAAAGUAACCCUGGCUUCAGAACUGAAGAGCCUCCCCUGCUCUGCCAUCUGCACUCCAAGCAGCCCUGAGAGUGAGGUCCUCCUCAAAACCUGAUUCAAGGUCUUCGUUCUCCAAACCUUUGAAACCCUAGUUUUUGCUAAUUGAAAGAGUAAAAGCUGGGCCAAAUCAUGCAAUGGGGGAUGAGAUAUCUGGUGUGUUCACUCAAAUGCUCUGGUGCAGACCAGAGUUUGGCAUCCAGUAAGGGGUCUACAGACUGAGGACUCCUGGGGCUUGCAUCUGUAUUUCAAUUCUCUCCUGAUGUUCUGCCUUUUCCUCCCUGAGCCAGACGUCAAAUUCAGCUGGCAGGUGAACAUGAGUCCCUACAAAAUGGCAUGUGAUAUGUACAGUCACAAGGUGGGGGGCAAGGUGCAAAGGUGAACAUAAGAGUUUGUUUUUACGGGGAGGAGGGAACCUGACAUAAGGAGAAUUUGCGCAAAUUGCGUAAGUCACUUUGAACAAAUGAGAUUUGCCUUUCCCUGUGACCUCUGAGUGCUAGGAAAGCUCUCCCUAACCACAAAGCUCAAUAUUCAAAUGUCAGUCCUUCCCUUACAACUAAUUCCACUUAACAGGGUUAUAUAUGUGAAUAGCCUCACUGGGAUCAAAGGAGUUACUUACCUGCAUGCAGUGUCAGGCACACACAUUUGCAGGAUCAGGCCCUCCAGGCACACAGCAGCUUUCAUUGCCCUGCGUGUUGCUCAGGCACAAUCUGAUGUCAAUUAAGGAAAGUGAAGAGAAGCAUAUGCUUACAUGGCAAGAGUGCUGCAGAAUGUUUUAAAGUGUGAAAGGUUUAAAUCACACCAAGGCUAUAAAAAUCAGCUUUGUUUAUGGACUUGUGCAGAGACCUAUUGUACUUUGUAUCGAUCAAUCCAUUGAACACCUGGUUCAAAAUGUUCAAUUGAAAGCUGGGGAAAAGUGCUAAAUUGAACAAUCUAAGUAACCUGUGAACCUGACAGUCAUAAAUCAAUGGAGAUGUUACACACAGUUAACCCUAACCAGUUAGCAAGUUGUACCAAUUAUUCACUUUGUUACCUGGUUAGGAGCUAGUUCACCGUUUCAGAAUUGUACUAAUACAGUAAACAUUUGUUCUGAGUGACCCUCAGUAAACAGUACCAGGUUCAUUGAAGACUUUCUCCCCUGCAUCUAGGCCAGAAAAACCUUGCCUGAAUAUCAGCUUGGAAAAAAGGACAUUUGAAAUGAAGAGACAAGUUUACAAAAACUGCUAAAUUUGGGGGGCUUAAAAAGUGUGACUACAAAAGAUCUGCUUUUCAAAUAUGCUUUAUUCUGUGCGAAGGUUAUUCACACCUGUAUGGGCUCUGACAGAAACUGACUUUUCUGAUGCUAGUGCUGUUUUUGUUCACAGGUUCUUUGCAGACUUUGAAGGACUUCGAUUUGCUGGCCCACCUUGUCUUUUAUAUGCCUGGCAACAUUUGCCUUAUUUUUUACUUCCUAAGGCAGUAAAUAUGCUGAAUUUUUCAGGAAGGCUUAUGAGAACUUCUUGUUUCUGCUAAACCAUUUUGC